ensembl:lncRNA
UCAAGAUUAUCUGAGGAAAUAUAUACAUAUAUUUUGAUGCCAAAAUAUGUAUGUGCCUGCACGGGUUCUCACCUUUUCAAACGCCAUUGGGUUCUCUUGCCAAAGUUACCGGGUGAGGCAGGGAAUACGACUUUAUUCGGAGAGCCCGCUGACGCAGAAGAUGGCAAAUGAAUGUCUCAAAACAACCAUCUUGUUGAGGUCUGGAUGCCAGGUUCUUUUAUAGAUCAGAGAUUGGGGGAGGUGAGGAAACAAAGUAAAAAGGCCAUUAGUCUUGCAAAUAUUUCCUAGAAGGGCAAGUGUCAGGCAGGGGAUGUGUUAAUGUCUUCCUUCCUACCACCUACAUAUGGACAGGGAUCUGAACAAAGGCCCUUUAGUUUAACAGUCAGGCAGAGGGCCUAUAUUCUCUGAGGCAGGCCAUUAUGUAUGAUUAUAACAAUUGCAAGGAAAAGCAAGUCAAACAAUUCCAACAGGGAGUCAGAAUUGGUUCUUCUCUGCAAACAAAAGCAUAGGUUGAAGAGGGUGGGGGGAGUCAAUCAAACCCAUUCCUUACCAGGAUACUUUGGAAAAGGGGAUGGCAACCCAAUCCACUAUUCUUGACUGGAGAAUCGCAUAGACAGAGGACCCUGGCGGGGCUAUAGUCCAUAGGAUCGUGAAGAGUGGGACACGACUGAAGCGACUUAGCACGAACGCAACAGGAUGUUUAGAGCGCAGCCAACCUCAGGCGCGCAGAUGGCGUUACAGAAAGUUGUGCAUAGCGGUGGAACGCACAGGAGUCUCCUCCGUGACCUUGGCCAACUCGCAGAAACUAUAAAAUGGGAAUAACCCUACUGGGUGAUUGAAGAGCAAAGGAAAUGAUGUAAGUAAAAGUACUCUAAGAAGUAAUAAUGCUGGUUUCUUUGAACGGGAGUCCCCAGCAGCUGGGUUCCCACCAGCUGGGCGUUUUGCUCUUUCCUCUCUGGCUGCCGGAGGCGGCGGCCUUGGCUUGUCUCCAUGGCAACCACUCCGCAUCCCGAUCUCCACCCCCUGUCCACACCGGGGACCGGAAGCAACCGGUCUGGCGCUUCCCAGGCUUCUACCCCAAAACGCAGGGCAGUCUUUCCCAGGCCAGAGGUCUUGACCCGAUUCUGUUCCGGCCUAGUAUCAUCUGAGUCUGCUGCUCCUUCUCUUCGCCAGGACCCCGGCCACCGGCUCUGGACCCUGCAGCACCGCACAAAGUGUGGAUGGCCUGAACUCAGACCCCACCCCUGCUCCUUUGCUUUGGUCUCUGUUAUCUACUUGAACUUGCCCUGGCAGGUUCCUCAUCUACCGCACGGAAAUGAAAAGAACCUUACGGGUCUUUUGUGGGGAUUUAAAUACUGUAGUUAUUGUUUAGUUGCUAAGUAG